ACUUAAGCAUAUCAGUAAGCAGAGGAAAAGAAAACAACUGUGAUUCCCUUAGUAACUGCGAGUGAAGCGGGAUAAGCCCAUCGUUUAAUCUUCCCGGACUAUGGACGGGACGACGUGUAACGGUAUGGAUAGGUUCUCUAUCGACAAUGUCUGGUCAAAGUCCUCCGGAUUGAGGUGCCAGAGAAGGUGACAGCCCUGUGUGGGACUGGACAGCGUCGAGUAGGUGGCCGAUUCCGAGAGUCGGGUUGUUUGGGACUGCAACCUAAAGCAGGUGGUAAACUCCACCCAAGGCUAAAUAUUGACACGAAACCGAUAGCGAACAAGUACUGUGAAGGAAAGUUGAAAAGAACUCUGAAAAGAGAGUUAAAAGUACGUGAAACCGCUAACGGGGAAGCGGAAGGCAGUGUCGAGAUUGAGUGAGUGAGUUGUCUCAAGUUAAUCUAAGAGUGGUAGAUUAAUUUGGGGCGACUAGCUUUGCUUGAUGCGUCAGGACUAUCGGUGUGCGAUGGCUCAAUCGCAGGCAUGGCUUCCACGACACCAUGCACCUCACUUGUGGAGUGUGUGGCUCGUGGUUGCGGCAGGCGAUCCACCUCGUGUGCUGAUAUUGGAUGUGGUGAGGCGUUGGUGACGUAUGUCGGUUGGUGCUGUGUGGUGCUCCGCGUAGUCACAGUGUGGCUACGUAAACGUAAGUGGUGGGAGAAACCGGGCGGCAGCUCAACAACCAGUGCCAGCUCCUGACGUGAUACCUAACCU
rnacentral:rRNA from 1 species